UCACCUUCUAGUUCGAAGCUUUGGAUUAAUCGAAAUCCUGAGAGUGAUGGUCCUUCUCGGUUUGAAAUUUGGAGCAACAGUUAUCUUGAAAGGGAGUUUCAUGUACCUCAAUCCAAACAUGGUUCUGUGUACACUGAUGGAUGGUAAACUUACUAUCAUCACUACUUCACUUGUCAUUGUUUUCUUUUGUCAUUUGAUUUAUGAUUUGAAUGACUUAUUUGCAGCUUAUAAUAUAAGCCUUAUGCAUAAACUAUUUCUAUAAAUAAAAUGUCAACUAAAGUUAAAUGGUUUUCGUAUAAGCUACAAGUUAUUUUCGUAAGCCAUCUUGGAGAGCUUAUGAAUGUCAACUGAAAAAAGCUUAUUAGUAUAUCAUAAGUUGUGUAUUCAUAAGUUCCUCCAAACAGUCUCACAAGUAUGAGUUAUAAAAGUAGAUAACUGAAAUAAGUCAAUUCAAAUAGGUCGAUAACUGGAAACUUAUAGUUUUGAAUUUUGAUAUGUCACUUGUUUUUACUUGUUUGCGACCUCUGCGGGAGGUAAUACUAAAACACCGCACGAAUCAAAAACCAAUGAAAAUGAGAUCCAGUAAGUUACUUCAGUUUAAUUUCUUUUUUAAAGUGAUUCUGUUUUAUUAAGGUUGGUUAUGUUGAGCUGAAGUAUAAAAGUAUGAUGAUGCAGCUCAAAUGAAAAUGCUCAGGAGCUUAACCUUACUCAAACCAUAAGUAGUGCUUUCCUUCCACGGUUCAGCUCAAUUAUUUGCGUAUGGAUUGGUUGGUGCAUUGGAUUAAGGAAUAGCCUGUUCUGUUUCAGAAUACAGGGCACAACUAUAUGAUUAUCUCAAGAGUAGGAUGAACACCAUAGCACCCAAUUUGACUGCUAUGGUUGGGGAGCUUGUCGGCGCUCGUCUCAUUGCCCAUGGUGGUAGCUUAAUAAAUAUUGCAAAGCAGCCUGGUAGUACUGUGCAGAUUCUCGGUGCUGAGAAGGCUCUUUUUAGGGCACUUAAGACUAAACAUGCUACUCCUAAGUAUGGCCUCAUUUACCAUGCAUCCUUGAUUGGUCAGACAGCUCCAAAGUUCAAGGGCAAAAUUUCUCAAUCACUUGCUGCAAAGACUGCUUUGGUUAUCAGGUGUGAUGCACUUGGAGAUGGGCAAGAUAACACCAUUGGAUUGGAGAACAGAGCCAAGCUUGAAGCACGAUUGAGAGGUCUCGAAGGUAAAGAAUUAGGUCGCUUUGCCGGUUCUGCUAAAGGGAAGCCCAAGAUUGAAGCAUAUGACAAGGAUAGAAAGAAUGGAGGACUGAUAACACCAGCUAAGUCUGUAUGUGCCAAUAUUUUUCUUGAAGUGUUAGAAUGAAGCUCUGUUUUUUCCCGUACAGUGAAACUCGAGGCUUUGCAUUCGUUCAGUUUGUGGAUUCAUAUGAGGCCUCUGAGGCGCAGUACCAUAUGGACAGACAAAUUUUUGCUGGAAGGGAAAUUUCUGUAGUUGUGGCUGUAGAGACAAGAAAAAGGCCAGAGGAGAUGAGGCACAAGACCGGUAGGCCCAGAGGACCAGGGAGCUAUGGGGGGCAAAGGUCUUCCUACCAUGCGUGACAUCAUAUCCGGUUCAAGAUGAUGCCUUGAAGACUGGCGAACUUGACUAUGUCAGUGCAGCUGCACUUGUUUGAUAUUCCAUAGCAGGAAACUUCCUAGGAAUAUCUGAGGUUAAAGUCGUCACCGUCCAUGCCACCAAUAAUUACUUUGUGACUGCAUCACUUGACGGCACUUGUCAGACCCAGGUCUGUUUUCAGACACUUGUCUGACUCAGUUUCAUGCAUGUAUGAGUCUAGAUAGUUUAGCUGGAAAUGUCAUGCAAGAAACAGUUCAUGUAACAGUACCUAGUUUCCACUUGUCUGACUUAGCCUAACCCCAGGGGACUGGGUGUUAACAGUCCGUUUGUUUGUUUGGGGUGAAUUAAGAACGAGAGAAAUGUAAGCGAGAGAGGUACAUGAGAAAUGCAUGAUUUCUCUUGCUUGGCACAUCAAAGAAAUAGAGGCGACUGAUUAAAUAUGGUGGGCCCCAUUCACUUUUUCUUUCUCUUCACAUGUGAGAAGAAACGGAAACUACAGCUAUUAUUUGAAUUAUAUUUCUACAUAUACCCUUUCUCUCAUGCA